rnacentral:rRNA from 1 species
GUAGUCUCGCACAGAUGCAUAUCAAUAAGCGGAGGAAAAGAAACUAACAAGGAUUCCCCUAGUAACGGUGAGUGAAGCGGGAAGAGCUCAAAUUUGAAAUCUUAAAGGGUUUCCCUUUACGAAUUGUAGUUUAAAGAAGUGUUUUCUGUUGAGGUUUUGGUAAAAGUUCUUUGGAAUAGGACAUCAUAGAGGGUGAGAAUCCCGUAUUUGACCUUUACUUUCAACUUUGUGAUACACUUUCAAAGAGUCGGAUUGUUUGGAGACUGCAGUCCAAAAUGGGUGGUAAAUUUCAUCUAAAGCUAAAUAUUGGCGAGAGACCGAUAGCGAACAAGUACCGUGAGGGAAAGAUGAAAAGAACUUUGAAAAGAGAGUUAAACAGUACGUGAAAUUGUCAAAAGGGAAGCGUUUGACACCAGUGUUGUUUUUUCUGAAAAUCAAUUAAAGAACUGUUUAUGCUAAGUUGUUUAGACUUUAUCAGCUAACUGUUUAGUUUUGAGCUUUUCUUUAAUGCACUUUUCAGUUAACAAGUCAACAUCAAUUUCUUUUGCUGUAAAAAAGCUUGAGGAAGGUGGCUUGAGAUUCGUCUUAAGUGUUUAUAGCCUCUUGCCUAUGCAGUCGGAGAGAUUGAGGUCUGCAGCGUAGAUCCUUCGGGGCUAAAUGCAUUUGUGCUAAGUUAUAACAUUUUAUAGACAACUUGUUGACUAUGAUUUGUCUUGUAGCUUACUCGCUUAUGUUAUUUUACCUACGCUUAGGAUGUUGACGCAUGAGAUAUACGC